ACCCGGGUGACGCAAUUGGUUAGCGUGUCAGACUUUUACAGAAUGAGUAAAUCUGAAAGUUAGGGGUUCGAGUCCCCUCUCGGGUG
rnacentral:tRNA from 1 species